GAUGAACGCUGGCGGCGUGCCUAAUACAUGCAAGUCGAGCGAACAGACGAGGAGCUUGCUCCUCUGACGUUAGCGGCGGACGGGUGAGUAACACGUGGAUAACCUACCUAUAAGACUGGGAUAACUUCGGGAAACCGGAGCUAAUACCGGAUAAUAUAUUGAACCGCAUGGUUCAAUAGUGAAAGACGGUUUUGCUGUCACUUAUAGAUGGAUCCGCGCCGCAUUAGCUAGUUGGUAAGGUAACGGCUUACCAAGGCGACGAUGCGUAGCCGACCUGAGAGGGUGAUCGGCCACACUGGAACUGAGACACGGUCCAGACUCCUACGGGAGGCAGCAGUAGGGAAUCUUCCGCAAUGGGCGAAAGCCUGACGGAGCAACGCCGCGUGAGUGAUGAAGGUCUUCGGAUCGUAAAACUCUGUUAUUAGGGAAGAACAAAUGUGUAAGUAACUAUGCACGUCUGGACGGUACCUAAUCAGAAAGCCACGGCGAACUACGU
rnacentral:rRNA from 1 species